UGUGUCCGUGUGUGCGUGUGUGCGCGUGUGCGUGUGCGUGUCUGUGCGCUCCCGCCGCCGUCGCCGAGCGCCCCCCUCUCCGCCCUCGCGCUCGCGCUCCCUCGCGCCGGCGCCGGCUCCCCAGCCCAAGCCGGGCAGGGCCGGGCUUUAUUAAUAUGCUAAUUGUCCUGCUAGUGGGAGGGGAGAGCCGUGUCAAAGUGACCCGGGAGAGCGCGCAGCAAGCGACGACGUGCGUGCGCCGCGCGGCGGGCGGGCGGCGAGGGGCUGGGAGCGCUCGGGGAACGGCAUGCAUGUGACGCAGCUUUUAAAAAAGGAGACGGAGGCAGAGACCCCAGAGAGGGAGGGCGAAGGGGAGGGCUUGGAGGCGCAGCCGCGCGCUCGGUGUCCGUCCUCCGGGUGCCGCCGGAUGGGGAGUCUGGCUGAGCCGGAGCGGGAGCCGCGGCUGGGGGAGGCGGAGCCGGGGUGGGCAGUGUGGUGUAUCUCUCUCCACCCCGGGCCGCGCUCCGGGAGGGAAAAGGGACUGCAGACCCCCUGUCCGUGCUCCCUGCUGAGACGCCAGCCUUCUUCUGGAGGCCCCUUGUUUCGCGUCCCUACCCUAGGCUGGAUGGGUUUUUGCUGAGGGAGCAUGAAAUGAUGGAACGGUGCAGAGUCCAGGGAUUGAAAAGAAGGCCUGCCUAGGAAUGGAGACCCUCCCCACCAUGUGCUUAGGAUGGGGGAUAGGGGAGCUUGUACACUGUGGAGUCUCCCACCCCCAGGUUUCCCCAUCUCCACCCCCACCAGGAGCAGAGAGGACCUGACUGAAGCCAUCCACACUCACACAAGUAUUUCCUUGGCAGCAUCCCCUGCCUGAGUGCACCCCCUCCCUGCAUUCUCCCAGACAAAGGUCAGCACUAGAGGGAGUAGAGAGAACAUAAGGCAACAGAACACUGGCCCGAAAUUGUGGAUACCUAGGUUUGAACGCAAGAUUCGCUCCUCAAUACCUGAGUGAUUUGAGACAACUGACCACCCCACCUGGGACACUAGCUUUAUCCUCUGUAACCUAUGGCUUGGUGAGUAUCAAACUAGACAAUGUACACCCAGUCACGUAGCCCAGUGUCAGCCAGGCAGUCCUGUAAAUACGUGUUCUUUCUGCCCUUUUUUUUUUUUUUUUUUUAAGAUUAUCCAAUUCCAAGAGAGGAGGGGGCUGGAUUGGCAGGACAAUUUGAGAUGGUUUGGAGGAGGGGGAAUACCUACCUUGACCUCCUUCUCUCUUUUCUGUCCAUGAAUUUGCCUUCCUCCAAUCCUGUGACCACUUACGCCUAAGGCCACUCAUUCCAAACAACUAGCUUGGUCAGAUUCCAUGCUGACCAACACAAUGGUGAUCAUCUGGGUGGACAGGGGGACUACAACCCACCCUAUAAAGGUCUUUGCCUCCUGUGAAUCUGAGAUUUCCCUCUCCUAGAUUACACAUGUGGAAGGUAGAAGCUUAGGAAGGAAGAAAAAACUGCCUUACUUGAGCAUGCACUAAUGCCAGGCACUGCCCUAGGCCUUUUACACUUGCCGACUCAUUUACCUUUCAUGAGGACCUUUGGAAGAAGGUGCUAUUACCUCCAUUGAACAAGUAGGAAAACUGAAGUUCAGAGAUGAUAAUAAAUUUGAACUUGCCUGUAAAACACUGUUCUCCCUCUUCUUCACCUACUAGUUAAUGCUUCCUUAACACCUUAGUUCUAGCUUCACCUUCUCUGGGAAGAUUACCCUUCCCACUCCCACUGACACUAUAGCCCAGUUACCGGUAAGGAAAUACCAUCUCAGUACUGUUGAAUGGGUGGUUAAAAUAAGUGAUUGGGGCUCCUACAGGAACUCCAUUUAGGCAAGUUAGUUAACUUUGCCAAGGUAACAGAGCUAACAAGCACUUGACCCAUUGCUCCACUCCUUGCCUUACUUCUAGUGUGGAUCA
rnacentral:lncRNA from 1 species